UGACAGUACUCCUACGGGGAGGCAGCAGUGGGGGGAAUAUUGCACAAUGGGCGCAAGCCUGAUGCAGCCAUGCCGCGUGUGUGAAGAAGGCCUUCGGGUUGUUAAAGCACUUUCAGUCGUGAGGAAGGUGGUAGUGUUAAUAGCACUAUCAUUUGACGUUAGCGACAGAAGAAGCACCGGCUAACUCCGUGCCAGCAGCCGCGGUAAUACGGAGGGUGCGAGCGUUAAUCGGAAUUACUGGGCGUAAAGCGCAUGCAGGUGGUUUGUUAAGUCAGAUGUGAAAGCCCGGGGCUCAACCUCGGAAUAGCAUUUGAAACUGGCAGACUAGAGUACUGUAGAGGGGGGUAGGAAUUUCAGGUGUAGCGGUGAAAUGCGUAGAGAUCUGAAGGAAUACCGGUGGCGAAGGCGGCCCCCUCGGACAGAUACUGACACUCAGAUGCGAAAGCGUGGGGAGCAAACAGGAUUAGAUACCCUGGUAG
rnacentral:rRNA from 1 species